rnacentral:other from 15 species
UACAACCUGCCCUUCAUGACAGGAAAACCAAAAUCCUUGGGGCUAUAACAAUCCUAAGGAGGCUGUCCCUGUUUAAGCUCGUGGGCUUUAAUAUAUGGCUUCCACCUAUUUUUUAGGCGCCCAGGAUUAAUUUAUCCAUCGGUUGGUGCGGGUUGUAC